rnacentral:rRNA from 1 species
UACGUAGGGUGCGAGCGUUACUCGGAAUUACUGGGCGUAAAGUGUGCGCAGGCGGCCGAGCAAGUCGAGUGUGAAAGCCCCGGGCUUAACUUGGGAAUUGCGCUCGAAACUACUUUGCUGGAGUGUGGCAGAGGAAGGUGGAAUUCCACGUGUAGCGGUGAAAUGCGUAGAGAUGUGGAGGAACACCAAUGGCGAAGGCAGCCUUCUGGGCCAACACUGACGCUCAUGCACGAAAGCGUGGGGAGCAAACAGG